rnacentral:rRNA from 1 species
AACGAACGCUGGCGGCAGGCUUAACACAUGCAAGUCGAGCGCCCCGCAAGGGGAGCGGCAGACGGGGGAGUAACGCGUGGGAAUCUACCCAUCUCUACGGAAUAACGCAUGGAAACGUGUGCUAAUACCGUAUACGUCCUUCGGGAGAAAGAUUUAUAGGAGAUGGAUGGGCCCGCGUUGGAUUAGCUAGUUGGUGGGGUAAAGGCCUACCAAGGCGACGAUCCAUAGCUGGUCUGAGAGGAUGAUCAGCCACACUGGGACUGCGACACGGCCCAGACUCGUACGGGAGGCAGCAGUGGGGAAUAUUGGACAAUGGGCGCAAGCCUGAUCCAGCCAUGCCGCGUGAGUGAUGAAGGCCCUAGGGUUGUAAAGCUCUUUCACCGGUGAAGAUAAUGACGGUAACCGGAGAAGAAGCCCCGGCUAACUUCGUGCCAGCAGCCGCCGUAAAAC